GGUUGUUUAAUGUCGUCUGUUUUUUUGCCAUGUGGUUCUGCCCUGUUGCCAUUUGAAUGCCUAGUUUUACGUGUCCAGUGUACUUGACAUGCGGACUCCAGCCAAAAUUGACCCCACAUGUCAGUGACUGGAUUUGAUAAACGAACGCAUCGAUUGUGCCAGCAUCUUUAUUUUAUUAUUAUAUUAUUUUGGUGACUUAAAAAUUCAGCAGCAGCAGUAAUCAUUUCACAUAUCAUGACCUUGCUUGCCGCCUCCUAGACCACGGUACCUAUGUGUGUGCGUGCGCGCGUGCGUCUACAAAUACAUACCCAUGCAUGCUCCUCACACACCUUGCCAAGAAAUAGAGAUGAGAGGAUGAGAGGGGCUCGAUCGGGAGAAAGAAGGGGGAAAGAUAUGAAGCUACUUGCUUCUGAGUGGAAUGUUGUCUGGUUCAAGGUCUUGCUUUCCGAUUUGAGGAUGAUCCAUGCUUGCAUGUGUAGUUUUUUUUGUUCCUCAGAUCUACAAGAUCUCGGACCAGGCUUCAUUCCCCUCAGGAAUAGCUUCAAAAUAAUACCGCCGGAGAGUUAUUAGGAGGAGCUGCUAGUACUACAUAAACUUGUGUUCUUGGUCUUUGAUUCUGAAAUAUUUUCUUGGAGUUUUCGUGAGUUUCCUGGUUGUUCUUGUAGUACAGUGGGGAGUACUACUGUGUUUUCCACUCCUAGCUAGCUAGAUCUUACUUUUCCACACAGUGCCUUUUUUUUUGUUUGCUUGCUUGCUGCAGAGAUCGAGGUCGAGGAGCAGCAAGAUUGGUGUAAUGAUGGCCUACUUCCUCUUCUCUUUCUUCUGUGUAUCUGGCAGGUGAUGAAAGUUUUCAUCAUUACAUUUUGAUUGGGAGAAUCUUCGCUCUCUCUCUCUCUCUCUCUCUCUCUCUCCUCUCUAUAUAGCACGUUCUCUAUCUCUUUUCUUCUUCGUAUUCAUUGUUCCUCCUCUCCAUCUCUCUACUAUGCCUGCACGGACUGUUGUUACGGUGCUCACAUGGUUUUGUAGAGCAUGGUAUUUAAACAAGGCUGGUGUAAACUUUAUAUGGAGAUUUGAAUGGUUUGUACU